CAUGCGUGUGGUGUGUGUAUGUGAACAUGCGUGCUCCCUGCGCUGCCGGCUCUGGCUCUCCCCCAUCCUUCCUCACAGAGCAGCGCAGGUUUGGCCACAGAUGUCAGGAGCCCGCGGCUUCCCUGCUGAGCUAAGAGCCCUCUUCAGGCCUUGUGGUGUCACUAUAGCUGACAGUGUCAAGUCUCACGCCCUUUACGAAGCAGAGAGGGGUUUUGAUGCCGCAUUGUUUAGCAGUAUGCAGACCUCUCCCUAGGGGCUGUAGAUUUCCUGCCUUCUGAACAAUCUCGAGGGGAGCGUGGAUUUCCGUCCCGGCGGCACCCUCGGGUUUUCCCUCCCCUGCCCCCUCCGCCGCGCUCUCCCCCUUCGCACAUUCGGAAACCCUCUUGGGAGCUGAAUCAUGUUCUCGCCUUUUUUGGUCCUAGUUGAGCUCUCUUCCACUUUCAUCACCAGAGGCUUGAGAUCUGUGAAAGAAUCAGUUCCUCGCAGGCUGCGGUCUGCGCCGCGCCUCCUUUGUAUGUCACGCUCAGAGAGGAGCAGUGCCCUUGGAGUGCCCUGCUCUUGCUGAGAGCCGCACGAUAGAUGUCUUUGAAUGACUGACUUUAAUUAAAGUGUGGCGGGCUGGAGAUAAAAUGAUUCUGAAUAUCUUAUUUGGGGGGAAAAAAAAGCCAGCUUCUUUCUUAAGGGAGAAAAAAAGGACUCCAGCGCCAGGAGUCUCUUCGGUAUCCCUGAGAGUCGGGGGAACUCUUUAAAUGCGGCCCUUGAUGGUGUUGUGGAGGGAGAGUGAAUUCUGGGAAUCUCUCAGCAGCUUUUUGCCAAACAGAUGGGCCAGGAGCCGCGGAACCAGGCUGAGGAAUGUUGCCUCACGAUCUCACAUAUCCAUUCCUGGCACCCACCAGCCCAGGGAAUGCCUCUACCAGUUGUCAGCGAGAGGCUUACACAGCAUCUUAAAUAAAAGGGAUUAUUGAACCAAGAGGCCAGGGACUGAUGGAAAUGCCCACCUUGCUGGCUCAUUGAAAAAGUUUGGCAAGGUUGUCAGGAGACAUGAAUUAGAUGGGCUUGGGUCUUGUGCCCUUUGCUAAACCAAGUGCUGUAUUGGGAAAGAGACGGGGAGAGAAGUGUUGGAGAUGCUCUUUAGUCAGGCCUGAGUCACUUGCCCAACCCUGGAGUUGGAGUUGGGGAUGGAGCCAGGAUCUCCAAACCACAUGCCCCUAGAGUUUCAGGGAAAAUAUGGAUUGUGAAUUGAAGAUGGGGGGUGAUGUAAGGCAGACAAGGACAGAAAAUCCCUCUUCCAGCUGUGAUUUGGCUGUGAGUUUGGCGCUCGAGACACCAUACGCUCCUGAGGUUUGUUAAGGGGUUUCAGGAUAUUGUGGACAAAAGGGAAUAGCAAACGAUGUUCAGUCCAUAAGUACCAUUUGGAGGAGGAAAUAAUUGAAAUUGCUGCUGAUCAAAAAGCUUUUUGUCUCCAGUUUGGAUGUUGGAGACAGGUUUCUGUGUAAGAGAGUGAGGGUGUACAACAUGACUGAGAAAGAAAACAAUGAGUUAAGGCACAUAAGUGCGCAUGGGUGUCACCUGGAGGCCUUCUUAUAACACAGAUGGUCAGGCCCACCCCAAGUUUCUCAUGCAGUAGAGGUGGAGCUCAAGAAUUUGCAUUUCUAUUUUACUUUAUUUAUUUGCUUUAUUUAUGUUUGAGACAGGGCCUUGCUCUGUUGCAUGGGCUGUAGUACAGUGGUGCAAUCAUAGCUCACUGCAGCCUCCAACUCCUGGGCUCAAGUGAUCCUCCCAACUCAGCCUCCCUCCCAAGUAGUGAGGACUACAAUCACACGCCACCAUGCCUGGCUGUAUAAUUUGCACUUCUAAGGUGUUCCCAGGUGAUGCUGAUGUUGCUGGCCCAGGGACCACACAUUCAGUACUGCUGUUAAGGCAAAAGACUUAAACACUCCAUAUAUGAAAGAAAGAAAAAGAGAGAGAGAGAGAGAGAGAGAGAGAGGAAGGAAGGAAGGCAGGCAAGCAGGCAAUGCUUCAAUAAAUCCAUUAAAACACAUUCAAACUUCAGAAAUAAACGUGUUCAAAUAAGACCAGCAGUCCUUGGUGGUGGCUUAUCAUUUCACCCAUUUGACAGUUUUAAAAGAUUGACCGAACUCAGUAUUGAUUAAGGUUUAGGGGAAAGGCUGUCUCAUAUACUGUGUUUACAAAUGUGAAUGAGUACAGCCUUUCCAGAGGGCAGUUUGGCUAUGUGUAUCAAAAUAUAAAAUGUGUUUGUUUUGACACUACAAUCUCACUUCUAGAAUUUUACUCUAAGAAAAGAUAAGUGUGUGAAAAGAAAUUUAAGUGUGUGAAAAGAUGCAUAUGCAUGGGAUUGCUCAUCACGGUUUCAUUUAUAAUGAGGAACAGCAAACCCGUUAAAUAUCCCUCCAUGGGGAGCAAGUCAGGCAAAUUCUGUACAGACACACAAAGGCAUGUUAUGCAGUGAAGAGAAGGAGGCACAUGUGGGUUCUGCAGAGAGGCAGAUCCCAAUGAGGGGUCAGGACGGGUCUUGGCUGCACAUCCUGGUUUCCUCUUCAUCCAUGGGGAGCAGCACCUUAUGAAGAAAACAAGCGGCAUAAUGAAUAAAUACUCACCUCUAGCAAAAGAUAAUAUGUAUAAUUAAAUCAAUAAAUAUUAAUUUGUUAAAUGUUAAUAAAUGUAAAUAAAUAUUCAUAUAUAUUAACGUGUUGAUUUAAAUAUUACUAUUCAUUAAUAUAAACAAUAAAUUGAUACUUGUUAACAUUAAAUAUCAAUAAAUUUUAUGUAUUAAUAUAAAUAAACACUAAUAAAACAAAUAUUUAAACAUG
rnacentral:lncRNA from 1 species